CACAACCACCUUUGAAGCCAGCGCACAAAGAACUUGAGCCGACCACAGUCAUGAUUGGCGUGAGCAGCAAGUCCUUCCUUCUCGCCCUCCUGGUGCUCGCUGUCGUCUGCAGCAUGGCAGCCGCCCAGUACGGCUUCGGACGUGGAGGCUUCGGAAGGGGCUACGGUGGCUACGGAGGAGGCUUCGGCCGCGGAUACGGUGGCGGUUUCGGCCGCGGCUAUGGCGGCUACGGCCGCGGAUAUGGAGGCUACGGCCGCGGAUUUUACGGCUGAGCGCAAACUUCGAUUGCAUGAAUGACUACCCGGAAAUCUACCGGGAAGAUCGAUAAUGGUGCCAAUGUGAUUCAAAAUGCUGUCUAGAAGAAUAAAUUAUUUAUUUAUGAUAA